GGUCAGGCGGGACUACCCGCUGAAUUUAA
rnacentral:rRNA from 3 species